GACUAAAUGCACAACAACAUGUUGCAGUACUUAAUAGCAUAAUAAAGUUUCACUGAACUACUCUCUCUGACAUAUUCUGAUAUUUAGAAUACAACCAACAGGGUGGACACAGAAGACGUAGUGUAUCAGGGAUCAUCUCCAUGCCGACCAGUCCAGACACUGUCACGCAACGCUUCUCUGGAGCUGCUGAGUCGCCAUGGGAGGGCACAGCUGCUGUAGUGUCACAGAGCAGAGAAGAGCUGAGUCAUGUGAACAGCUGGGCCACUGAGGAAAUCUUUUCAAGGUGCUGUUUUUUCACAUACAGAUUAAUAUAAAUGAUUUAGAUGAUGGCUCGGGGCGGGGUUUGGUGCGGCCUUUGAGAGGUUGAGAGGGGCCUUAGCGUGCGGGCACAUACACACACGCACACACACACAAACACAUAUUUGGACAAAUCUCGCACUGAAACCUUAUCUGUCAGGGACCAUAAUAGCAGAGAGCUAGCACAAGCCAGCACAGAGGGUGUUCUCCGCUUCCCCCCAGCAAUCCCAUCCCUAUGAUCCCAGUGCCGUCCCCUGACCUGCAGGGUGUGGGUCUGCUAUAACCGAAGUGCUGCCCAGCAGGGAUGUGGAGGGUUGUGAGAAGGCCUGGGGCAUCACCAGACAACGCCCCCUUUCUGCCCCUUCACCCUCCUAUCUAACCCCAAAAACUGACCCUUAAAGUGGAACUCAGGGAGAUACUGCAGUCAGUGUACAUGUGUUCAUACACUGGCCUAAAGCUGUGGAUCACUGCUGUGGUCAAGUCAUGGAGGAGAGAACCAGGAGCUGAUGUGCUCUCAGUGAACCUACAAAGCUUUGUGCUUUUUUUUAAAAAAAAAAAAAAAGGAAUUUCAGUUCACGCAAAUGCUUUUCUCUUUGAGUGCAUUUAGUAAUUCUUAAUAAAAAAAAUCUCAAACCAGCUGUUAUUUUUUCCAUAAUUAUGUAU